UUCAGACACACCGUGAAAUCCGUCUCCGUCCGCCGCAUCUUCUCAUAGUGGCAGUUCGUCGGUUGCCGCGUGCCGGCUUAAAGGUUUACAUAAGGCCUCGAAUGCGGGCACCAGAAGCCAAACGGACUGGCACACUGCCUUGUCUCGGCUUGCCUUGCUUCACGGACUGUUGAGUUUUUAGCAUUGCUGCUGCUGCAGCGGACAGAACUUUUGAGGAUCGACCUCCUCGCACAUAGUAGCCUACGGUCCUGUUCAAUGGAGCUCGCUGAAUGGCCUACUACUGACGGAAAACGAAACCAAUUCAGGCGGAACGGGGUGAGGUUGCAGCGAUUGCAUGCUAAGAUUUUUAUUUUUUGUUUUGAAUCUUUCCUUUCUGUGUGGAGCAACGGAUUUGAACGCCAUGCCGUUAUAUAGAGCUUUGCAUCGAUCGGAUUCCGGAAAUGUUGCUCUGUCAAUCGUUUUGAGUUUCCUUUGUCAGCAGAAGAAAGUGUUUCCUUUCAUCAUGACUUUAAUAUUGAGAAGAACUAAGACAGUCAAUAACUAUGGAAGUGCUGAGUGAAGAACUAGCCAUUAUGUGUUAACAUUAAUAAAAUUGAAUAAUAUGGAAGUGCUUUUUGAAGCUGAUGAAAGGCAGUUGCAAUUCAAAGAACAAUGUAAUGCCAAGACAAGUAAUAAUGAUAUAUAAUUAACGCUAAAGCCAAAUUGGUAUAAGCAUUGUGAACCAAAUGCUCCCAAUAGAGCAUCCCGCAUCUGCUGAGGCGCCAAGCCCCCACGCCUACUUAGCGCUAAUUACUCUAUUGGAUUACUUGAUUGAGUCGCGUGCCAUGCUGCUGGUGGUGGGUCGAUCUAGGCUAAGGUGUUCACCGCCAUGACCGAGCUUUCGGAACCACCUACCUCAACCUCACCCAUUCAUCAGCUAAUAGCCCGAGAGGGCGAGAACAUAUUCUAAUCACUUCCAGUGGGUACAAGUGUUUCUUUACUCAUUUUAGUUUUAUGAAUCGGUCAUAGACUCAUUCGAAUCACGUCGUUGUGUACCCAGUUGAAUGGAAAUGAUAUGCUAAUGGAGGCGUUGGAUUUUCAUGCAAUCUGUUGCCUGCUGCUCGCACAACCAUUGAGCAGCGGCUAAUCUUGGCUGGCUGGCGCUAGACACGAAAAACCUGUUGCACCUCUAGCAAGAGCCAUUCAUUGAUUGCGGUUGAGAACAAGACGUGGACGGCAUAAUAUGUAGGCAGACAAAUUAGCAAGCUUUUAAAGAAGACACAAAGAAAAAAAUUUAGAAAAAGACUCAAAAUAUAUUUCAUACCGGUAAAUCGAUAAAAAUAAGCAAUGAUAAAUUGGGAAAAAAUAAUCGUUAUUCCUAUUAAAAUUUGUAAAUGAAUAAUAAAAACUUACAAUAAGUUCUUAAUAAAAAUUGA